CUAGUCUGUAAGGCGGUCUCUGGCCCGGGUGGGGCUGGGACCGGCGGGCUCCCAGGAAAACUUUGUACAAUUGGAAGUCAGGGCUCCUCCCAUUCUGGAAGCCCUGUCCAAACCCGCGCCUGGGGGUUGCCGCGUGAGUGUACGGGGGAAGGCCGGGCCUGGCGGGAGAAACCAGGACAGGCGCCUUGAGUCGGCAAACGGCUCCCAGGACUGUGCUGAGCACCGCGAGGGGACCUGAGGCAGGCCCCGGAGAAGCCCUCGUGCCAUUAAUUGAUUCUUUGGAAACAUUCCCUGGGGUUGCUGAGGUCCUGGCAGCCGGUGAAAAAUCAAAGGCCUCUGCCCUGAUGGAAUUCCCAGUCAAGAAAUAAUGGAAUGACGUUAUUGUAUGUUGAAGGUUUUCAUAAUAAACAGUUUAAUAAACGAGAAAAUUAAUUCUGCAGGAAGCAAAAGUUGAGCCUUAAAAAAAAUUUUAGUCCGGGAGCGGUGGCUCACGCCUGUAAUUCCAGCACUUUGGGAGACCAAGGCAAGCAGAUCACCGGAGGUCAGGAGUUCAGGACCAGCCUGGCCAAAAUGGUGAAACCCCGUCUCUACUAAAAAUACAAAAUUAGCCGGGUGUGGUGGUGCGCGCCUGUAAUCCCAGCUACUUGGGAGGCUGAGGCAGGAGAAUCACUUGAACCCGGAAGGCGGAGGUUGCAGUGAGCCAAGAUCACGCCACUGCACUCCAGCAUGGGCGACAGUGAGAUUCCGUCUCAAAAAUUUUUUUAAACAGAUUUGAGUAUGUAAAUAAGAUUGUUGCAUGGCAGACAACAUCAAAAACAUAGACAUGUGACAAACUCAGGGAAAUAUUUGCCUACGUGUUCAGUCAACAAAUAGCACCUACCAUGUGGACACCACCAAGAAUAUAGCAGUGAACAAAAAAAAAUGACAGAAAUCCCAACCUUCUUGGAUCUUAUGGUGGGGAGAAACAGGCAAGAAAUAAGUAAAACAUAAGCGUGUUAGAUGGUGAUGAGGACUUGGAGUAAUCAAGGGAACUAAGCCAUCCUCUGAGGGAAGAUCAUGCCGGCCAGAAAGUACAAGUCAAAGAGUGCUGGGGCAGAAGCAAAUCUGGUUCAAGGAAGAGUCAAGAGCCAGUAUGGGCCAGGCCCGGUGGCUCACGCCUGUAAUCCCAGCACUUUGGGAGGCUGAGGCGGGCGGAUCACCUGAGGUCAAGAGUUCGAGACCAGUCUGACCAACAUGGUAAAACCCUGUCUCUACUAAAACUACAAAACAUUAGCUUUGCGCAGUGGCAGUAUCAUAGCCAAUGAGGUUUAUCCGAGGCGCAAUUAUUGCUAAUUGAAAACAAAACAUUAGCCAUGCAUGAUGACUGGCACCUGUAAUCCCAGCUACUCAGGAGGCUGAGGCAUUAAAAUCACUUGAACCCAGGAGGUGGAGGUUGCAGUGGGCUGAGAUCACGCCACCACACUCCAUCCUGGCCAACAGAGCAGGACUCUGUCUCCAAAAAAAAAAAAAAAAAAGAGCCCAAUAUGGCCAGAACCUGGAACAGAGAGCAGAAUAGGAGGGUGGGAGUUGUGUAGCACAAGGCCAUUGAAAUGGCAUGUGCUUGGGCCAGGCGAGGUGGCUCACGCCUGUAAUCCCAGCACUUUGGGAGGCUGAGGCGGGCGGAUCAUGAGGUCAGGAGAUGGAGACCAUCCUGGCUAACACGGUGAAACCCCGUCUCUACUAAAAUACAAAAAAUUAGCCGGGCAUGGUGGCGGGGGCCUGUAGUCCCAGCUACUAGGGAGGCUGAGGCAGGAGAAUGGCGUGAACCCGGGAGUUGGAGCUUGCAGUGAGCCGAGAUCGCGCCACUGCACUCCAGGCUGGGCGACAGAGCGAGACUCCGUCUCAAAAAAAAAAAAAAAAAGAAAGAAAGAAAGAAAGAAAAGGGGCACUACUCUGGUAUCUCCUGAAAUCCAAACUGCUGGCAGUAUUCCCAGAACAGGAUAUCAGCAAACCCCUAGCUACCCAGUAAGGAUAGCCAUUUUAUUUAUUUAUUUAUUGAGACAGAGUUUCACUCUUGUCACCCUGGCUGUAGUGCAGUGGUGCUAUCUCGGCUCACUGCAGCCUCCGCCUCCUGGGUUCAAGCAGUUUUCCCUGCCUCAGCCUCCCGAGUAGCUGCGAUUACA
rnacentral:lncRNA from 1 species